ensembl:misc_RNA Metazoa_SRP Metazoan signal recognition particle RNA
GCCGGGCUUGGUGGUGCACGCCUGUAAUCCCAGCUACUGGGGAGGCUGAGGCAGGAGACUUGCUUGAACCCGGGAGGUGGAGGUUGCAGUGAGCCAAGAUAUACCACUGCACUCUAGCCUGGGUGACAGAGCAAGACUCUAUCUCAA